UCUCAUUCUUUUUUAUUUUUAUUUUGCUCUAUUCACCCCACAUAUUCACAUUAUUUACGAAGUUGGCAUUUAAUUUUUUUUUCUUUUCUAAAAUGGCUUUUUACUCUAUCAACCUCAUCAUCUUCAAGUAUUUACAAGAUUGACAUUGCCAUCAAUACUCCAACAACCAUGAACAACCAAUUUGAAGCUCUUAAUGCACCUAAUAUCGAUUUACACUCUCUCUUUCUCACUUGGAAUGAAAUAAAAACAAUAUCUCUUUCACUUUGCCUCCAUAUUCAUCCAAAAAACUCAAGCUUUUGAUUCAAAUUUUUUUAUGGUUGAUAGAGCCAUUCAAGCAUACUAUUCUUAGUGGGUUACUUUCGUUUGUGAUUAUGGGUGGUUGGAGAAGAC
rnacentral:lncRNA from 1 species